rnacentral:rRNA from 1 species
AUUGAACGCUGGCGGCAUGCCUUACACAUGCAAGUCGAACGGCAGCACGGGUGCUUGCACCUGGUGGCGAGUGGCGAACGGGUGAGUAAUACAUCGGAACGUACCUUAUCGUGGGGGAUAACGCAGCGAAAGCUGUGCUAAUACCGCAUACGCCCUGAGGGGGAAAGCGGGGGAUCGCAAGACCUCGCGCGAUUAGAGCGGCCGAUGCCUGAUUAGCUUGUUGGUGGGGUAAAAGCCCACCAAGGCGACGAUCAGUAGCUGGUCUGAGAGGACGAUAAGCCACACUGGGACUGGGACACGGACCGGAUUCCUACGGGAGGCAGCAGUGGGGAAUUUUGGACGAUGGGGGCAACCCUGAUCCAGCAAUGCCGCGUGAGUGAAGAAGGCCUUCGGGUUGCAAAGCUCUUUUGUCAGGGAAGAAACACCGGCUCUAACACGGUCCGGGAAUGACGGUACCUGAAGAAUAAGCACCGGCUAACUACGUGCCAGCCGCCGCCGUAA